rnacentral:lncRNA from 12 species
AAAUAAAGAUGCUAUAAUAUUCUUUAACAACAUUUUUUUUUGUCAGUACAUACUUUCAGGUCAUAAGAAAUGCUACCUUUCUCAAAGUAACAUUUUAUAUUCCACCAGCAAUGGUUGAGGGUUCCACUUGUUCCUCAUCCUCACCAACAUUUGGUGUUUUAUGGUAUCUCAUUUUGCCAUAACUGUCUGUUUCAGAUUCUAUUUCACCAACACCUUGAAUAUCAGUUCCUACAUCGUACCUGGCCAGACAGAAAGACAGAAAGACAGAAAUUAGCAAAACGCUGUCCUUCAGGACGUGGAAAGCAUUGUGUUGGGACAAACCAGUGCGCCCCAUGCCUCUCUCUGUUCCUGGAAUGUUCCUCUGAUGCUGGAAGCAAUGACGAGAGAGAUGGAUCCACACCUUGUCACAGGCAGAGGCCAGUCGUUGGUGAUGGCACCUGUGGGUUUGUGAAGGAGCCACAACCGCAGGCGAAGUAACUAACAGGCACCAGGAUGUGCGUGAUGCUGUGUGAAGCGCCAGUACCCAGUGCCAAAGUAUUACCUUUCACCACCUGUCCUCAUAUUAUCGGCCUUUGUGAUACAACCAUACUCCAACUCCCUAUAGGAUUGGACUGAGGUUAGACUUUUUUUUUUUAAGAACUUAUUUUUUUAGAGUGGUUUUAACAAAAUUGAAAGGAAAGUACAAAGAUUUCUCAUACACCCCCCAUCUCUACACAUGCGAGGAACUCCCCCUCAUUACCAACAUCACUCCUCAGAGUGUCAGAGUGGUACAUUAUUUUUUAACCAAGAAUAAACCUAUACUGAUACGUUGUAGAUUUGAAUCA